rnacentral:tRNA from 1 species
CGUUAGUAUAGUUUCAACAAACGUUAGAAUGUGGACCUAAAAUCAGGGGUGUAAACCCCCUUAUUAAC